rnacentral:rRNA from 1 species
UCAACCGAGAUUCCCCCAGUAGCGGCGAGCGAACGGGGAGCAGCCCAGAGCCUGAAUCAGUAUGUGUGUUAGUGGAAGCGUCUGGAAAGGCGCGCGAUACAGGGUGACAGCCCCGUACACAAAAAUGCACAUGCUGUGAGCUCGAUGAGUAGGGCGGGACACGUGGUAUCCUGUCUGAAUAUGGGGGGACCAUCCUCCAAGGCUAAAUACUCCUGACUGACCGAUAGUGAACCAGUACCGUGAGGGAAAGGCGAAAAGAACCCCGGCGAGGGGAGUGAAAAAGAACCUGAAACCGUGUACGUACAAGCAGUGGGAGCACGCUUAGGCGUGUGACUGCGUACCUUUUGUAUAAUGGGUCAGCGACUUAUAUUCUGUAGCAAGGUUAACCGAAUAGGGGAGCCGAAGGGAAACCGAGUCUUAACUGGGCGUUAAGUUGCAGGGUAUAGACCCGAAACCCGGUGAUCUAGCCAUGGGCAGGUUGAAGGUUGGGUAACACUAACUGGAGGACCGAACCGACUAAUGUUGAAAAAUUAGCGGAUGACUUGUGGCUGGGGGUGAAAGGCCAAUCAAACCGGGAGAUAGCUGGUUCUCCCCGAAAGCUAUUUAGGUAGCGCCUCGUGAAUUCAUCUCCGGGGGUAGAGCACUGUUUCGGCAAGGGGGUCAUCCCGACUUACCAACCCGAUGCAAACUGCGAAUACCGGAGAAUGUUAUCACGGGAGACACACGGCGGGUGCUAACGUCCGUCGUGAAGAGGGAAACAACCCAGACCGCCAGCUAAGGUCCCAAAGUCAUGGUUAAGUGGGAAACGAUGUGGGAAGGCCCAGACAGCCAGGAUGUUGGCUUAGAAGCAGCCAUCAUUUAAAGAAAGCGUAAUAGCUCACUGGUCGAGUCGGCCUGCGCGGAAGAUGUAACGGGGCUAAACCAUGCACCGAAGCUGCGGCAGCGACGCUGAUGCGUUGUUGGGUAGGGGAGCGUUCUGUAAGCCUGCGAAGGUGUGCUGUGAGGCAUGCUGGAGGUAUCAGAAGUGCGAAUGCUGACAUAAGUAACGAUAAAGCGGGUGAAAAGCCCGCUCGCCGGAAGACCAAGGGUUCCUGUCCAACGUUAAUCGGGGCAGGGUGAGUCGACCCCUAAGGCGAGGCCGAAAGGCGUAGUCGAUGGGAAACAGGUUAAUAUUCCUGUACUUGGUGUUACUGCGAAGGGGGGACGGAGAAGGCUAUGUUGGCCGGGCGACGGUUGUCCCGGUUUAAGCGUGUAGGCUGGU